GAUGGGUCUGAUCGGGGGAUGUAGGACCGGUACGACAAAUAUGUGUCGUUGUUCCAUCAUAAGAAAAGUUUUACCAAGACUGUGUUAAUCCAGAGUUCUAGAAGGGAUGAAUUAGAGUCUUAUUUCCCAUUCGAGAGUCGUCCAGAAUGGACAACAUCAAGUAUUGUCUCUUCCACAAGGGUCAUAUGCCACAACAUUGACGACUCGUCCAGUUGAAGGAUGUCAUUUAUGGGUUUAUCAAGAGAAGUCAACUGUUUGAGUACGUGAAGGGAGGGAAGAGAGA
rnacentral:lncRNA from 1 species